rnacentral:misc_RNA from 1 species
GAAAUGCGAUAAGUAAUGUGAAUUGCAGAAUUCCGUGAAUCAUCGAAUCUUUGAACGCACAUUGCGCCCCCUGGCAUUCCGGGGGGCAUGCCUGUCCGAGCGUCAUUUCUGCCCUCAAGCACGGCUUGUGUGUUGGGUGUGGUCCCCCCGGGGACCUGCCCGAAAGGCAGCGGCGACGUCCGUCUGGUCCUCGAGCGUAUGGGGCUCUGUCACUCGCUCGGGAAGGACCUGCGGGGGUUGGUCACCACCAUAUUUCACCACGGUUGACCUCGGAUCAGGUAGGAGUUACCCGCUGAACUUAAGA